rnacentral:sRNA from 1 species
GACUGGUCAAGUGCAGUGGUGUUCAAACUAAUUGACCACAACCAGUUACAAAUUUCUUUCUCUUCCUUCUCUAUCCCUGCUGCUUCACUAGGCUUAA